rnacentral:misc_RNA from 1 species
GAGAAAGUUGCAAUCAAGAAAAUACACAAUGCUUUUGAUAAUCGUGUUGAUGCGCUGAGAACUUUACGUGAACUGAAGCUUCUUCGGCAUCUUCGGCAUGAAAACGUCAUUCAGUUGAAGGAUGUAAUGAUGCCUAUUCAUAGGAGAAGUUUCAAGGAUGUGUAUCUGGUCUAUGAACUCAUGGAUACAGAUCUGCAUCAAAUUAUUAAGUCUUCUCAAGCACUCACUAAUGAUCACUGCCAAUACUUCCUAUUCCAGUUGCUCCGAGGGCUGAAGUAUCUUCACUCAGCAAGCAUUCUCCACCGUGACUUGAAGCCUGGGAAUCUACUUAUAAAUGCGAACUGUGAUCUAAAAAUUUGUGAUUUUGGGCUUGCACGUGCUAGCAAUGGCAAGGGCCAGUUCAUGACCGAGUAUGUUGUUACUCGCUGGUAUCGAGCUCCAGAACUACUCCUAUGCUGUGAUAACUAUGGGACAUCCAUUGAUGUCUGGUCUGUUGGAUGUAUCUUUGCAGAGCUUCUUGGCCGGAAACCAAUCUUCCCAGGCACAGAGUGUCUCAACCAACUUAAACUUAUCAUCAACAUCCUUGGCAG